CAAAAUGAUGGAAAUCAGUGGUUGCCAGGGGAUAGGAAUGGGGGUGGGGAGGUAAGGUGUGACUACAAAGGAGUAGUGGAGGGAAGUCUUUGUAGUGAUGGAAUAGUUCUGAAUCUUGAUCAUAGGUAGUGACUCGAAUCUACAUGGGACAAAAUGACAUGCAGCUAUAUAUUUGGCAUUGUUUUAUCCUACCCUUGUGUAAUAUAUAAGCAUUGGAGGAAACAGUGAAGGGUACACAGAACCUUUCUGCACUCUCUUUAAAAUCUCUGAAUUUUGAGUUAAGUUAAAAAAUGAAAAAUGAAAAAUGUUGAUUUAAAUAAAAAUACUAAGUAAAAAAAAAUUGACAGUAUACAGGUCUGGCAAAAAUUGACAUAAUAAAUUGGAAUUCCUGUUGUGGCACAGAUGGUUAAGGAUCCAGCGUUGCUGCAGCUGUGGCUCAGAUUUGAUCCCUGGCCCAGGAACUUCCAUAUACUGUGGGUGCAACCAAAAAAAAAAUUGAUGUAAUAAAUGACUGAGCCUCUCUAAUCCAUCCAAAGUACAAUUGCCCCCACCAAGUCCUGCCCUUGGCCAGGCCACCUGCAGGAAGCUGGAGCUUUGGACCCUUCCUCCCACUCAGCAUUGGAGUGGGUUGCUAGAUGAAUACAGAAUGACAGUGAGGGAGUUCGGGUCAUGGCUUGGCGGUAACAAACCUGACUAGUAUCCAUGAGGAUGCGGGUUUGAUUCCUGGCCUUGCUCAGUGGGUUAAAGAUCCAGUGUGGCCAUGAGCUGUGGUGUGUAGGUCGUGGAUGUGGCUCAGACCUAGCACUGCUGUGGCUGUGGUGUAGGCCAGUGGCUGCAGCUCUGAUUGGACCCAUGGCCUGGGAACCUCCAUAUGCUAUGGGUGUGGCCCUUAAAAAAAUCAGAAUUACACUGAAAUAUAGAUUCAUCACAAACAGAAUUUUUUUUAGUAUAAAUAUGUCCCAUGCAUUAUUUGGAACAUACUGAAAUAAAAAAAAUAUUCUGAAGUUCCCUGGUGACAUAGCACUUUAGGGAUCCAGUGUUGUCAUUGUUGCAGCUUGGGUUCAGUCCCUGGUCUGGGAACUUUCACAUGCUGUGAGCAUGGCUCAAAAAACAAAAAAGAAAAAUAUUUUUCUGAAUCCUUUUUUUUUUUUUGCUGUUUAGGGCCACACCCAUGUCAUAUGGAAAUUCCCAGGCUAGGGGUCUUAAAUUCUUUGAUGUAUUUAAUGUAGGUAUUUUUAAAGCCCUUGUCAGCUAAUUCUGCUGUCUCAGCCAUUUAUGGGUAUGCUUGUGUUGACUGGUUUUUCUCUUAACUUUAGGAUUCCUUUUCUUGCUGCUUCACAUGUCUAGUAAAUAUUUUUUGAUGUGCUGGACAUUGUGAACAUAUGUUGUAGAGAUUUGGGUGGUGUUAUUUUACUCUAAAUGGUGUUGAAUUUUGUUCUGGCCAGCAAUUAAAUUACUAAUGGAUUAAUUUGAUUGUGUAUGUCAAGGCUUGGCCUUAGGUUUUACUAGGGUAUGUCUUUCCAUUUUGUCAUUAUUCCUAGGGAAUCUUCCUUACUCCCAAAGCAUAGCCUUCACGGCUCUCAGUCAGUUUCUGGGAAUGUCCUUCCUGAUACUUUGGGAAAGCAGUGAUAUGCUCUCCACCUAAUUUACUGUAGUAAAUUUCAUGUCCAGGCUUAAAGCAGCUAUUCCAGCAGCAUGUUAGAGCUCUAGGUGUCAUUGCAGGACAUUAAAUUCUGAGCACAGGGAGUUCCCUUCUGUGGCUCAGCAGUUAAUGAACCCGACGCAGGUUUGAUCCCUGGCCUCGCUCACUGGGUUAAGGAUCUGGCAUUGCCAUGAGCUGUGGUGUAGGUUGCAGACUCGGCUUGGAUCCUGUAUUGCUGUGGCUGUGGUGUAGGCUAGCAGCUGUAGCUCCAAUGGACACCUAGCCUGGGAACUUCCAUAUGCCACAGAUGUGGCCCUAAAAAGACAUAAAAAGACAGGAGUUUUCAUCGUGGCCCAGCGGAAACAAAUCUGACUAGGAACCAUGAGGCUGUGGGUUUGAUCCCUGGCCUUGCUCAGCGGGUUAACUAUCCAGUAUUGCCAUGAGCUGUGGUGUAGGUUGCAGACAUGGCUCAGAUCUGGUGUUGAUGUGGCUGCAGCCGCAGCUGUAGCUCCAAUUCGACCCCUAACCUAGGAAUCUCUAUAUGCCAAGGGUGCAGCCC
rnacentral:lncRNA from 1 species